GAAAAAGUGUACGUUUCAAAAAUUCGAUGCUGAUCACGAAUUAGUAUUCGAUGUGGCCAGGAACAUGGCUCUAAGUGGCAUUUAUACACGGUUUCUACAUUGGUGCAUUAGACAAGAGGGGUAUGCAAAAUGUUGCUCAGUCCGCGCCAUGUUGAGGAACAAAGCUGCUCGAAUUCUCGGCACAUGAUUUCUCAUAUUCGUGUAGAAUAGAGGGCGCCGGUGUAUGUAAGAGAAAAACAGUUGCUGGCCGAAAAUAAUCGCCAUCGUUAUCUGAAUUCAAGCUAUCAAAAAACAAAUUUCACAAACAUUCACAUGAUUUGGUGGGUCAGGUCAGCUGCUUGCAGCUUUUCCACACAAUAGCCACACGUGACUAGACUGUGGAGCACAAAAUGAGAUCGUUCUGAAAUUGAAGACAAUCGAAAUCCAUUCUUGGGAGAUUUCGUGGUUUGUCGAAAACAAUAGACGCACGUGCCUGUCUAAUGCAGACGCAUAUCAUAGGAAUACCAUGACAAUGACAGCAAAAAAUUUUUGAAGAAUUUAUGCAUACAAAAAACUAAAAGUAAUUAGUUUCACGUAUAUAUGUACAUACGUAUAUACGUAUAUAAAUUCAUACAUACUCAAGUGUAUAAUUAUACCAUAGCGAGCUUAAGGCCUCAGUAGCUAUAGCCCCACACCUUGUUAAUACCUAGUUUUAACUAUUUAUUAGCUUUAUAUAAUAAUA